GUCGAAUCGCGUAGCAAAGCACGAAUUGUUAGUCAUGAAGGUUUUGUUAUGUGUUUGCUGGAUUUGGCAAUUUUCACCAUGUAUUGAGGAAUCAGACUAAAACGGUGUCCGUGCUAGAUUUAGAAUUCCUGAAGUAUUAUCAUCAUUUAUGUUGUGAAAAUUAAAGUUUUUCUUUAUAUUGGAUGAAUCUUGUACUAGUGACAUUAAUGAAAAAAAAAAAAUCUUACAAAAAUUCCUAAAGAUACCAAAAAAAUCCUCACAUAAUGUGCGCUGCUUACACUUCCAGGCCACACGGGAUAGCCUUCAUCCGAUAGCAAAAAUUGGUCAACUAUUCAAUACUAUAUACAUAUGUAUAUAGUGAAGUACGAUAAUUCACAUAUCAAGUAGCUAACAAACAUCCGUUUGAAGGCGAGCUAAAGUGAGAAGGCGAACCCGCUUCUGCGGUUGCCCAGCUGGUUGAUGUCCUCAUACGACUCAAGGCUGACAUCACCGCCAUCCAAGAAGUGCGAUGGGCGGGACAAGGACGGAAGAAGGUGAGUCCUUGUGACAUCUACUACAGCGGCCAUAUAAAGGAGCGCAAAUUUGGUGUUGGAUUUGUGGUGGGAGAGAGACUUCGUCGCCGAGUCCUGGCAUUCACCACGGUGGAUGAACGUCUAGUCACAAUCCGCAUAAAAGCGAGGUUCUUCAACAUAUCGCUUAUUUGCGCCCACGCCCCAAACGGAGGAGAAGGACGAUGUGACCAAAGAUGCUUUCUAUGAGCGCCUAGAACGCACCUAUGAGCGCUGCCCCCGCCACGAUGACAAAAUUGUGCAUGGCGAUUUUAACGCCAGGGUGGGUAAAGAAGGUGUCUAUGGCACAACAGUCGGAAAAUUCAGCCUCCAUGAUGAAACAUCGCCAAACGGCCUGAGGCUGAUCGACUUCGCUGGGGCCCGAAAUAUGGUCGUCUGUAGUACCAGUUUUCAGCAUAAGAAAAUACAUCAAGCUACUUGGCUGUCUCCUAAUCGAAACACGCGUAACUAAAUCGAUCACGUUGUGAUAGACGGAAGACAUGUUUCCAGUGUUUUAGACGUGCGUACGCUCCGAGGACCAAAUAUGGACUCGGACCAUUAUCUGGUUGCAGCGAAGAUACGCACCCGCCUCUGUGCAGCAAAGAACGCCCGUCAACAAACACAUGGAAGGUUCGACGUCGAAAAGCUGCAAUCGCAACAGACAGCCCCGAAAUAGGUCGACUUCCUAAACGCAGGUUGCAAUGCAUAUUUACAAUGCAUAUUGUUACUAAAGUCAUACUUGAAUUUUCUGGCAACGCCUAAUGUUCCUAAUUAGUUGGCAACUCAGUUUUAAACGCAUCAGAUGUUUAAAGCGUGCAUCAAUUUUAUUUGGUAUGCAGAACAGACAAUGGCAGAAGAAAAAAAGUGGACACACGAGCGGAAGAAGUUAUUAAUAACAACAAGGCUUCGUCAUGAAGCAGAAUUUUCCGGCAAAAAAAGGAAGAGAAAUACAAUUUGGGAGUCGAUUUUAAGGGAAAUGAGGGACGUUGCGAGCUCGUUUCCAUUUUCAAG